GACAGAGGGUGCAAACGUUGUUCGGAAUUACUGGGCGUAAAGGGUGCGUAGGCGGGUCUUUAAGUCAGGGGUGAAAUCCUGGAGCUCAACUCCAGAACUGCCUUUGAUACUGAAGAUCUUGAGUUCGGGAGAGGUGAGUGGAACUGCGAGUGUAGAGGUGAAAUUCGUAGAUAUUCGCAAGAACACCAGUGGCGAAGGCGGCUCACUGGCCCGAUACUGACGCUGAGGCACGAAAGCGUGGGGAGCAAACAGGAUUAGAUACCCUAGUAGU
rnacentral:rRNA from 1 species